CUUUUAUAUGGUUUUAUAAGGGAAGCUGAGCAAGCCUGUCGCCAUUAUCACGAAGACCAGUAAUGACAGUAUAUUGACAGGAAAAAAACAGAUAAAUAAUAAAAUGCCUUUGGUUAGGAAAAGAGGCAGACAUUAUGCCCAUGUUACAUAUGAAAGAGGUACAGAUGCCCUUAAAGUUUUUGAUGAAGUAAAGAGCAAGAUACUGUCCCAUCUGGCAGCAAUACUGUAUGACACUGUAUGACCAAUUCACAGACAAUUUGACAAAGAAUAACAAUAGAACACCAACAAUUCACAUAUGAGACGAUGUUUUAUGGUGAAUGGUUAUAGUAAUUUAGACAAGCAAAACAUGCAUUAAAGACUGUCAGUGUUGCUUGGAUUUUCUCCAUAUGGUUUUACCCUUGUUCUAUGUGUAUGGUACAGACAAACGUAUCAAAAAGAAAAGAUGUGGUGUUAAGUUUGCCAAUGAGACAAUUCUCCACCAGAGACCUAAUGAUGUAGAUGUUAAUGAUAAACCACACAUUGAAAUGUCUACCUGUUUAUUCUGGAUAGACAUGAAAUUUCAUUAUUGGAACGAAAACAAAUGUUAAGUUAAGUAUGACGUCCAUUAUCACUGAACUAGUAAAUAUUUUUGUUUAAGAAACAGCUAUUAAGAGCACGCUUCAGGUUGUGGGAUUUUCUUGUUGUAUUGAAGAUCCAUUGGUGGCCUUUGGCUGCUUUCUGCUCUUUGGUCAGGUUGUUGUUUCUUUAAAAAAAUCCCCAUUUUCAAUUUUACAUUUUACUAUCUGUAGGUAACAUUAUUUUUGUAUACUCUUCAUAGAUAAGUUUUUGCAAAUUUAACUUUCUAUUGCAGAUGGAUUCUAUAGUCAGAGGGGAGAUGUGAAAAAAUCUUUAUUAAAGUCAAGUUACAUUAAAUGGGCUAUGUCACAGAUUUCAGUCAAAUUUUGCAUGUAUAGAACUCUGGCUCUAGUGGAAACCGAAAAAGUUAUGCAUUUAUCUCAUUUAUCAUUUGAAAUAUUUACUGAUUGAAAUCUUUCAAUAUGAGUGAACAUUUGUAUAGAAAGCCCUUAAAAUCGGCAAAAAUCAUCCAAAAUCUGUCUUAAAAUUCAUCAAAUCUCUAAUUCUUCUCCAUAGAUUUUUUUUUUAAAACUAUAUGACGUUGAUACAUAAAUUUCAGUUUUGAUGUUGCAAAACAAAUAUAAAUAAGGUCACGGAACAAAAAACAAAUAUCGGUAUGUAACACAUAAACAAAUGACAGCCACUGAAUUACAGGCACCUGACUUGGGACAGGCAACUACAAAGAGAAUGUGAAGGGGUUAAACAUGUUAGCAGAAUUCAAACCCUCCCCUAAUCUGGGACAGUGGUAUAAUAGUCCAUUUACUGUUCCUUGACCUUAAAUUAGAUUGAUAAUUCAAAUUGAAAACUCAAUUUUAGCACUGACCUUAAAAUAGAUUGAUAAUUCAAAUUGAAAAACUCAAUUUUAGCACUUAACAGGUUGUUUUGCAUUUUAUUUAUUAAAAAUGUUAUAAUAGCCAUG